CUUCUCCUCAGUUCACCUUUUCCAUCUUUAGUUGAACGAGCCUAGAGGAGAGCCAGCACCUACUGAGGGGGUCCCUUAGGGACUCCGGCCCUGGGCCGGCCCCUCCAUUCCAUCUUUUUUUUUUAACAUCACCUGGAGAGCUUCAUUUAAGAGCGAGCGAUGAACAAAGUGUUCAAGCGUUUGAGGCGUUUUUUCCCUUGCUUCGGCAAGGAGGAGCCCACUGAGGAGCCCCAGGAAUUUAUCUGCCUGGUACCAUCGGUUGGAUCUGGCAACGCCGUUUGCCAAGAGGAGAAACCAGAGCACAAAAUGGAGCCGGCUAUAGACAACUGCCGGGAGACUCCAGAGAUCCCUGACACGGACAUCUGUC